UUGGCAAAGUUCUUCAGAGCCACACCAUCUCGGCGAAAGGGAACAUGCAGAGAAACGGAUGAAGCUGCAGAACCAGAGAGGUGGCCGCA